rnacentral:lncRNA from 1 species
UGUGAUUGGUGUGGUGAGACAUCACACAGUGAAAGUGAGUUGGGAGGGAAACCUCCUUUCCAUGUGAAACGUUUACUUAGACUUAUAUCCGUGCACAUUCUGGACUUAGUUCUCCCGAGAGAAACGGCACAAAGAAGUUUUAUUCAGCUUCUUUUGUUCAUCUUGUCAUUGGGAAACAGAGGAAAGCUAAGUGCAAAAUGAGUGUAUUGUUCUAAAAGGAAAUUACAGGGUAGCAUACUGUCAAAGCAAACUUAUUAUAUGUUAAUUUACUUGUGACUUCUUUUUAAGGAUGCUGGGCAGUUUUAUGCGAAAUACAAGGAGACCAAAUUGAAGGAAAAAGAAGAUGCGCUGGCGAGAGUGGAGCUCGAGACGCUUCACAAACAGAAGAAAGCUAAAGUUAAAAAGCCCAAACCAGAAUUUCCUGUGUAUACGCCUUUAGAAAAUACAUAUAUUCAGUCUUAUGAUCAUGGAACUUCUAUUGAAGAGAUUGAGGAGCAAAUGGAUGACUGGCUGGAAAACAGGAACAGAACUCAGAAAAAGCAGGCACCUGAAUGGACAGAAGAGGACCUCAGUCAACUGACAA